rnacentral:lncRNA from 12 species
CUGAUGUGGGAGUCGAUCCCAGGACUCCAGGAUCACACCCUGGGCCAAAGGCAGGCACUAAACCGCUGAGCCACCCAGGGAUUCCCUUAAGGGUCACUUUAAAAGCAUCAUUGGAUCCCUUUCAUUGUAGUAAUCCCCCUCAUUUCUCACUCAUUCUUUAAUUUCCUGAAACUUGUGAACAUGCGGUGUUAAUAAGUGCCCGUAAUAAGUGCAGUUGCACCAGACAGCACUCAAGAUACUCCAUCAUUGAUCUGCACCUGUCUGUCCACCACUUUUUCCUUCUUACAAGAGCGUAGCUGGUCAUUCGCCGAUCUUUGCGCCUAUGUCUGGAAGGCAGACUUUUCACUUUUGCACUCAAGAGUUGACAUCUCCAGUUUGAUCAGAGCACACUUUCUCUCAGAUCCUGCAUGAGAUCUCACCACAGAGCUCAC